GCCGGGCGUGGUGGCGCGCGCCUGUAGUCCCAGCUACUCGGGAGGCUGAGGUGGGAGGAUCGCUUGAGUCCAGGAGUUCUGGGCUGCAGUGCGCUAUGCCGAUCGGGUGUCCGCACUAAGUUCGGCAUCAAUAUGGUGACCUCCCGGGAGCGGGGGACCACCAGGUUGCCUAAGGAGGGGUGAACCGGCCCAGGUCGGAAACGGAGCAGGUCAUUACAAUAAAAUAGCAUUCCCUUAGAAGACAAAGGACACUUUAUAAUAGACACCUUGAAUUUUCAUAAUAAAAAUGUUUUCUCCU
ensembl:misc_RNA Metazoa_SRP Metazoan signal recognition particle RNA